rnacentral:rRNA from 1 species
UGGGGAAUAUUGGACAAUGGGCGCAAGCCUGAUCCAGCCAUGCCGCGUGAACGAUGAAGGCCUUAGGGUUGUAAAGUUCUUUUGUCAGGGAAGAUAAUGACGGUACCUGAAGAAUAAGCACCGGCUAACUUCGUGCCAGCAGCCGCGGUAAUACGAAGGGUGCUAGCGUUGUUCGGAAUUACUGGGCGUAAAGCGCGCGUAGGUGGUUUGUUAAGUUGGAUGUGAAAGCCCCGGGCUCAACCUGGGAACUGCAUCCAAAACUGGCAAGCUAGAGUACGGUAGAGGGUGGUGGAAUUUCCUGUGUAGCGGUGAAAUGCGUAGAUAUAGGAAGGAACACCAGUGGCGAAGGCGACCACCUGGACUGAUACUGACACUGAGGUGCGAAAGCGUGGGGAGCAAACAGGAUUAGAUACCCACGUAGUCCCUGAGCGGGCUGGCAAGGCGCAU